rnacentral:tRNA from 1 species
GAUGGCUCAGUGGUUAAGAGCACUGACUGCUCUUCCAGAGGUCCUGAGUUCAAAUCCCAGUC